UCUCGUUGAAAGUUCGUGCAUUACCAUAAACACAAGUUAUGUACUCGGGUUACUUUUUUCAGUUAACUAGUAAAGUUAGGCAUUACUUAUUAAUUUACAAGAAAAUAUAAGAGUUACUUUUUCAAAAAGGUAAAGCCAGUUACUUUGUUUCCAUGUCUUGAGUGACAGCUCGGGUGUUGCCAUGGUGACAGAACUCAGGAGUAAACACAAGGGCGUUGUGUGUGAACAUGAUCUCACUGUAGAUUUAGACUAAAUAUGAACAUGUGUUUAUCAUCUCACCUGCACAAAAACAGUCAAAUACAAACUCAGGAUAUGAUACAAACCUGCACUAAUUAAAUAACACGGAUAACUUUUAUUUAUUUAAUCCCAUUUUAUCAAUUCAACCAAAAAGAAUUGAGCUUGAGCUGUUCCAAGUAAGACGAUUAGUUACUUUUUUUAGGGAGUAACGCAGUAUGCAUUCCUCUUAAAAGUAAGUUUCCGGCCUGUGCUGCUGAGAGUGUCUGAGACUCUGCUCGUGUUUGUGUUGCAGUGCAGCUAGAUGGAACCAUGUCCAAGGAACAGCUGUACAACAUCGUGUACGGAAACAUUCUCAACAGCAUCCAGAACAAUCUGCCCUGAACAAAGAUCUGCUGAUCGGCUUCGGGAGGAAGCAGCUUCGCAUCACCUCCUGUGUUUUACUCCGGCCCGACAGCGUCUGGCAGCGCUGUUGUUUUUAUAUCAUCUGUAUUUAUUGCUUACCCAGCUGUUAUAAGGCUGCGUCUGUAUCAACAUCAGGAUGUUCUGAGCAUGCUACAAGCACAAGCAAAUAAAAUGAAGCUCCUGUGA